rnacentral:rRNA from 1 species
GGCCUUGGGUGAGUCUCGCGUGGGACUCUACCCAUCUCUACGGAACAACUCCGGGAAACUGGAGCUUAUCCCGUAUACGUCCUUUUGGAUAAACAUUUAUCGCAUAUGGAUGAUCCCGCAUUGGAUUAACGAGUUGGUGGGGUAAUGGCCUACAUGGGCCUCCAUCCAUAUCUGGUCUGGGUGGGUGAUCGGCCACCCUGGGACAGAGACACGGCCCAAACUCAUACGGUGGGCAGCAAUGGGGGGUAUGGGACAAUGGCCGACUCCUGAUCCAGCCAUGCCGCGUGAGUGA